CCCUGCGCACAAGUGCGCGCAGUGUGUGUGUGUAGGUAUAUGUGUAUCUAUAUAUCGGCAUAUUCUCCUUUUUUCGACGCGGAGAGACGUGCCCGGUCGCUCUCAGCUUAGAGAAGAGCCAGCAACCGUGCCCUCUGGGACAGACUGCAGUAUCAGUCCCCAGAAGACUCGUCCCCCUUUCCCUGAGGUCUCGGUGUCCAUAGUUUUGAUGGUUGAAGGCAGCUGAGGAUGCUACCAGCUGGGGAUGGUGAGCAGCUGGGAUGAAACCCAUAUCCACAGAACCCCAAGUGAGAUGAGAGGUGAGUUGGAACCUGCAAAUCCACUGACACACGGGGAAAUUCCUUCCGAUGCCUGGAGGAGUGAGGCCACAUGUACAGCUCUCCUGCUGCCUCAGACGACCACACAACCCACAGCCAGCGCCGCCUCUCAGCCUGAUGCAACCAAGCACCGUCGGCAGCUGCCCCCAGGGCCAAUCCGCACACGGGAUGCUCUGCUCGAACCACGGUGCUUCGGCAGCACGGAGACUGCACUAAACACCCCCCCAGGUUUCUGCAAAGCUUUAAAAUGGAUUCAACAGAGAUGAAUUGUCCCUGGCUGCACGAGUGAACAGACUGGAAACUCCAUCCCAGAUCUGUGUGCAAUUCAUUUAUUAUAUGUUUAAAAGAAAAAAAAAAAAGAAGACGAAGAAGAAGA